UACGUAGGGUGCAAGCGUUAAUCGGAAUUACUGGGCGUAAAGCGUGCGCAGGCGGCUUUGCAAGACAGAUGUGAAAUCCCCGGGCUCAACCUGGGAACUGCAUUUGUGACUGCAAGGCUAGAGUACGGUAGAGGGGGAUGGAAUUCCGCGUGUAGCAGUGAAAUGCGUAGAUAUCAGGAGGAAUACCGAUGGCGAAGGCAGGUCUCUGGGCUAUAACUGACGCUCAUGCACGAAAGCGUGGGGAGCAAACAGG
rnacentral:rRNA from 1 species